CAAGACCUUGGCGCUCUUGGAGCGGCCGAUGUCUGAUUAGCUAGUUGGUGAGGUAAUGGCUUACCAAGGCGACGAUCAGUAGCUGGUCUGAGAGGACGACCAGCCACACUGGGACUGAGACACGGCCCAGACUCCUACGGGAGGCAGCAGUGGGGAAUUUUGGACAAUGGGGGAAACCCUGAUCCAGCCAUGCCGCGUGAGUGAAGAAGGCCUUCGGGUUGUAAAGCUCUUUCAGCCGGAACGAAACGGUCACGGCUAAUAUCCGUGACUACCGACGGUACCGGAAGAAGAAGCACCGGCUAACUACGUGCCAGCAGCCGCGGUAAUACGUAGGGUGCGAGCGUUAAUCGGAAUUACUGGGCGUAAAGCGUGCGCAGGCGGUUUUGUAAGUCAGACGUGAAAGCCCCGGGCUUAACCUGGGAACU
rnacentral:rRNA from 1 species